rnacentral:rRNA from 1 species
CCUACGUGCGGCAGCAGUGAGGAAUAUUGGUCAAUGGCCGUAAGGCUGAACCAGCCAAGCCGCGUGAAGGAAGAAGGUUCUAUGGUUUGUAAACUUCUUUUAUAGGGGAAUAAAGGUAUCCACGUGUGGAUAUUUGCAUGUACCUUAUGAAUAAGCAUCGGCUAACUCCGUGCCAGCAGCCGCGGUAAUACGGAGGAUGCGAGCGUUAUCCGGAUUUAUUGGGUUUAAAGGGUGCGUAGGCUGGUUUUUAAGUCAGCGGUGAAAGUUUGGGGCUGAACCACCAAAUAGCCGUUGAAACUGGAAGGCGUGAGUGGGUGUGAAGUAGGCGGAAUGCGUGGUGUAGCGGUGAAAUGCAUAGAUAUCGCGCAGAACCCCGAUUGCGAAGGCAGCUUACUGGGCCAUAACUGACGCUGAGGCACGAAAGCGUGGGGAUCGAACAGGAUUAGAUACCCGUGUAGUC